CCUACGGGCAGCAGCAGUGGGGAAUAUUGGACAAUGGGCGAAAGCCUGAUCCAGCCAUGCCGCGUGUGUGAAGAAGGCCUUCGGGUUGUAAAGCACUUUCAGUGGGGAAGAAAGCCUUGGGGCUAAUACCCUCGAGGAAGGACAUCACCCACAGAAGAAGCACCGGCUAACUCCGUGCCAGCAGCCGCGGUAAUACGGAGGGUGCGAGCGUUAAUCGGAAUUACUGGGCGUAAAGCGCGCGUAGGCGGUCUGAUAAGCCGGUUGUGAAAGCCCCGGGCUCAACCUGGGAACGGCAUCCGGAACUGUCAGGCUAGAGUGCAGGAGAGGAAGGUAGAAUUCCCGGUGUAGCGGUGAAAUGCGUAGAGAUCGGGAGGAAUACCAGUGGCGAAGGCGGCCUUCUGGACUGACACUGACGCUGAGGUGCGAAAGCGUGGGUAGCAAACAGGAUUAGAUACCCCUGUAGUC
rnacentral:rRNA from 1 species